GUCUUAAUGGAAUAAACAUGUCAGAAAUUAAUGUAAUGACAUUUAGUAAAUGGAUUUCUAUAUCGUCCAACAUAUUAUUUACAAUGGAGGAGCGCCAAAAUGGCUGCACGGUGGCUUCAAUACAGCCCCCCCCCUGUCAGCCAUCCAGGGUUUAUACACAUCAUUAAGGAGAGACAAAAUGGCUGCAAUAGAGCACCCCCCUGUCAGCCAUCCAGGGUUUAUACACAUCAUUAAGGAGAGCCAAAAUGGCUUCAAUACAGCACCCCCCUGUCAGCCAUCCAGGGUUUAUACACAUCAUUAAGGAGAGCCAAAAUGGCUGCAAUACAGCACCCCCUGUCAGCCAUCCAGGGUUUAUACACAUCAUUAAGGAGAGCCAAAAUGGCUGCACGGUGGCUUCAAUACCAUCAACAAAACACCAAAUGAUGGAAUUUCCUCGUGGAAGAAUGGCGUCUCAUCCCUCCGAUAGACUUCCCAGACACUUGUAGAAUCGAUGUCAAGGUGUAUUAAAGCUGUUCUGGUUGGUGGAGGACCCGACGUCCUAUUAAAACACUGUUGGAGUUUCCUUUAUUCUCCCAGUUACCUGGUGGUUGGUGGAGGACCUGGAGUUUCCUUUAUUCUGCCAGUUACCUGGUGGACGACCCGACCUCCUAUUAAAACACUGUUGGAGUUUCCUUUAUUCUGCCAGUUACCUGGUGGACGACCCGACCUCUUAUUAAAACACUGUUGGAGUUUCCUUUAUUCUGCCAGUUACCUGGUGGACGACCCGACCUCCUAUUAAAACACUAUGUUGGAGUUUCCUUUAUUCUGCCAGUUACCUGGUGGACGACCCGACCUCCUAUUAAAACACUAUGUUGGAGUUUCCUUUAUUCUGCCAGUUACCUGGUGGUUGGUGGACCUGGAGUUUCCUUUAUUCUGCCAGUUACCUGGUGGACGACCCGACCUCCUAUUAAAACACUGUUGGUGUUUCCUUUAUUCUGCCAGUUACCUGGUGGUUGGUGGAGGACCUGGAGUUUCCUUUAUUCUGCCAGUUACCUGGUGGACGACCCGACGUCCUAUUAAAACACUGUUGGAGUUUCCUUUAUUCUGCCAGUUACCUGGUGGACGACCCGACCUCCUAUUAAAACACUGUUGGAGUUUCCUUUAUUCUGCCAGUUACCUGGUGGUUGGUGGACCUGGAGUUUCCUUUAUUCUGCCAGUUACCUGGUGGACGACCCGACCUAUUAAAACACUAUGUUGGAGUUUCCUUUAUUCUGGCAGUUACCUGGUGGUUGGUGGAGGACCUGGAGUUUCCUUUAUUCUGCCAGUUACCUCCUAUUAAAACACUUUAUGUUGCUGUUUCCUUCACAAGGUUCAUUUCCAUCUUGCUGUUUGUUGAAAGGUCAAGAUGUUUGGAUGUGUAUUUUAUUCUUCUGAUUGUUACAGAUUGGCUAAAUGCAGACAAAAUGCAACCCAAAACAGUCUUACCACAGUGUGCUUAUUGUGUGUGUGUGUGUGUGUGUGUGUGUGUGUGUGCGUGUGCUUAUUGUGUGUGUGUGUGUGUUGCGUCAGGUCUGCUUUCACCUAGUUAUGUAUAGCUGUUGUGUUUCAAUGUCAAAGUAUUAUUCAGGUCCUGAGGGCCAAAACAUUUCUGCUUUCUCUUCCUACCUGAUGUCCCCAGGUCUGAAUGAGUCUCUCUACCUGAUGUCCCCAGGUCUGAAUGAGUCUCUCUACCUGAUGUCCCCAGGUCUGAAUGAGUCUCUCUACCUGAUGUCCCCAGGUCUGAAUUAGUCCCAGGUCUGAAUGAGUCUCUCUACCUGAUGUCCCCAGGUCUGAAUGAGUCUCUCUACCUGAUGUCCCCAGGUCUGAAUGAGUCUCAGGUCUGAAUGAGUCUCUCUACCUGAUGUCCCCAGGUCUGAAUGAGUCUCUCUACCUGAUGUCCCCAGGUCUGAAUGAGUCUCUCUACCUGAUGUCCCCAGGUCUGAAUGAGUCUCUCUACCUGAUGUCCCCAGGUCUGAAUGAGUCUCUCUACCUGAUGUCCCCAGGUCUGAAUGAGUCUCUCUACCUGAUGUCCCCAGGUCUGAAUGAGUCUCUCUACCUGAUGUCCCCAGGUCUGAAUGAGUCUCUCUACCUGAUGUCCCCAGGUCUGAAUUAGUCCCAGGUCUGAAUGAGUCUCUCUACCUGAUGUCCCCAGGUCUGAAUGAGUCUCUCUACCUGAUGUCCCCAGGUCUGAAUGAGUCUCUCUACCUGAUGUCCCCAGGUCUGAAUGAGUCUCAACCUGAUGUCCCCAGGUCUGAAUGAGUCUCUCUACCUGAUGUCCCCAGGUCUGAACGAGUCUCUCUACCUGAUGUCCCCAGGUCUGAAUGAGUCUCUCUACCUGAUGUCCCCAGGUCUGAAUGAGUCUCUCUACCUGAUGUCCCCAGGUCUGAAUGAGUCUCUCUACCUGAUGUCCCCAGGUCUGAAUGAGUCCCAGGUCUGAAUGAGUCUCUCUACCUGAUGUCCCCAGGUCUGAAUGAGUCCCAGGUCUGAAUGAGUCUCUCUACCUGAUGUCCCCAGGUCUGAAUGAGUCUCUCUACCUGAUGUCCCCAGGUCUGAAUGAGUCUCAGGUCUGAAUGAGUCUCAACCUGUUGUCCCCAGGUCUGAAUGAGUCUCGGGUCUGAACGAGUCUCGGAUUACAGGUAGAGGAUGAGAACCAGUAGUGUUUCGUCCCUCCAGGACCAGAAAGAAAUAGCCCUUGGCUAGAUUCAAUCUGAUCCGCAGAAGAUCCGGGUUAUAGUUCACCUUUAAAAAAACCAAAAAGGUAAUUUAGGAUUGAGCCUACUGUUAACGUGGAAACUUUACCUUUUAAUAAGGUGCACAGCCGAAAAGAGGAGAUCGGAUUUGAAUCUAGGAACAGCUUCCUCCCUCCAGUCCUAACGAGGGGUGAGAGAUAUAUAUAUAUAUAUGGGUCCCGUGUGGCUCAGUUGGUAGAGCAUGGGUGUUUGCAACGCCAGGGUUGUGGGUUCGAUUCCCACGGGGGACCAAUACGGGGGGGGGAAAUGUCUGAAAUGUAUGCAUUCACUACUGUAAGUCGCUCUGGAUAAGAGCGUCUGCUAAAAUGACUAAAAUGUAAAUGUUAAUAACUGAUCUAGGAUCAGUUUCCUCCCUCCAGUCCUAACAGGUCACCAUUAGAGAGGUGAUAUAUAUAUAUAACUGAUCUAGGACCAGUGUUGAACAGGUCACCAUUAGAGAGGUGAUAUAUAUAUAUAUAUAACUGAUCUAGGACCAGUCCUAACAGGUCACCAUUAGAGAGGUGAUAUAUAUAUAUAUAUGACUGAUCUAGGAUCAGUCCUAACGGGUCACCAUUAGAGAGGUGAUAUAUAUAUAUAUAUAUAUAACUGAUCUAGGACCAGUGUUGAACAGGUCACCAUUAGAGAGGUGAUAUAUAUAUAUAUAUAUAUAUAACUGAUCUAGGACCAGUGUUAAACAGAGCUGAAUGUCUGUCUGGUUCAUACCAUUUAUGAUGCUGAUGUAUUGUUAUUAUAAUGACAUUAAAUUAUUGAAUGUUUCUGUCG
rnacentral:lncRNA from 1 species